rnacentral:tRNA from 1 species
ACCUGCUUGGCCCAGUGGGUGGAGCCUGUGACUCUUGAUCUUAGGGUCGUGAGUUCGAGCCCCACACUGGGUG